UAGGGAAUCUUCCACAAUGGACGAAAGUCUGAUGGAGCAACGCCGCGUGAGUGAAGAAGGGUUUCGGCUCGUAAAGCUCUGUUGUUAAAGAAGAACACGUAUGAGAGUAACUGUUCAUACGUUGACGGUAUUUAACCAGAAAGUCACGGCUAACUACGUGCCUG
rnacentral:rRNA from 1 species